rnacentral:misc_RNA from 1 species
UCCGAGUUGACCCCGGCAGUAUCCCAUGAGUUCCCACCAUUACGUGCUGGCAACAUAGAACGAGGGUUGCGCUCGUUGCGGGACUUAACCCAACAUCUCACGACACGAGCUGACGACAACCAUGCACCACCUGUGUUCCCGUUCCCUUUCGGGCACAGCCCCGUUUCCGGGGCCUCCAGGACAUGUCAAGGGUAGGUAAGGUUUUUCGCGUUGCAUCGAAUUAAUCCACAUAAUCCACCGCUUGUGCGGGUCCCCGUCAAUUCCUUUGAGUUUUAACCUUGCGGCCGUACUCCCCAGGCGGUCGACUUCACGCGUUAGCUUCGUUACCAAGGGAAUCAAUCCCCCGACAACCAGUUGACAUAGUUUAGGGCGUGGACUAC